rnacentral:rRNA from 1 species
CUGUAAACGAUGAGUACUAAGUGUCGGGGUAACUCGGUACUGAAGUUAACACAUUAAGUACUCCGCCUGAGUAGUACGUACGCAAGUAUGAAACUUAAAGGAAUUGACGGGACUCCGCACAAGCGGUGGAUCAUGUUGUUUAAUUCGAAGAUACACGAAAAACCUUACCAGGUCUUGACAUACUCUGCAAAGCUAUAGAAAUAUAGUGGAGGUUAUCAGGGAUACAGGUGGUGCAUGGUUGUCGUCAGUUCGUGUCGUGAGAUGUUAGGUUAAGUCCUAAAACGAACGCAACCCCUGUCGCUAGUUGCCAGCACGUAAUGGUGGGGACUUUAGCGAGACUGCCAAUUAAACAUUGGAGGAAGGUGGGGAUAACGUCAAAUCAUCAUGCCCCUUAUGAUCUGGGCUACAAACGUGAUACAAUGGCUAUUACAAAGAGUAGCUGAAACGCGAGUUUUUAGCCAAUCUCAAAAAGGUAGUCUCAGUACGGAUUGAAGUCUGCAACUCGACUUCAUGAAGCUGGAAUCGCUAGUAAUCGCGAAUCAGCAUGUCGCGGUGAAUACGUUCUCGGGGUUUGUACACACCGCCCGUCAAACCACGAAAGUUAGCAAUACCCGAAAGCAGUGGCUUAACUUCGCAAGAAGAGGGAGCUGUCUAAGGUAGGGUUGAUGAUUGGGGUUAAGUCGUAACAAGGUAUCCUUACCGGAAGGUGAGGAUGGAUCACCUCCUU